UCUCAUGGAUGAAUGAAGAAAGUGGUUUCUUGAGAUGGAAUCUACUCCUGGUGAAGAUGCUGUGAA
rnacentral:pre_miRNA from 1 species